GGGGUUCUUUUUCUCCCGGCGAGCUUAAUAGGGAAGACGGUGCGAAUCCGGGACUGUGCCCGCAGCUGUGUCAUCCGUAACGGCCUCUAUCUUUUGCCAUUGGCGACGCCCUUUUUGAGGGCUUGCCGAGAAGGCUUCAGGCCGGGAGAAGUCAGAAGACCUGCCAUAGUC
rnacentral:ncRNA from 1 species